UGGUUUGUUUUUAUUUUCCUUGUUGGCUGAUAACUCCAGUUAGCUAGAAGAAAAUGUAGAUUGGUUUCCCGAAGUGGUGAGUCCAAAUUUGGAUCACAGUUGGUGUGGGUGAUGCCUACGGUGUCACGGGUGAGAUCAGAAAGUGGCCUUCUCUGAGUGUAGCGUCUCCACGCAUAACCAGUUCCCCACGUGAAAUCACUCGGAGUUGAAAGUGGGCCUUUGAUCCAGUGACUGAGGAGGGAGUCCGCAGAGGAGUGGGGCCCAGGGAAGCAGGACAGCUGCAGCAAGAGCUUGGAAUUCCGGUGCCACAGGCCAGUCAGGAGGAGUCUCUGCUGGUGGCUUCAGCUUGGAACCUGGUUCUACCACGUUCUGAGAUAUCUGUAAGUAUGAUGAAGGAUGUAAAGGUAAAAAAUGUCACAGCCUCUGGGCCACAGGCAAAUCUCCAUGCUUAUUAGUUACCGUGACCUAUUUGAGCAAUCCCUGAAGAUUUCCAACAUCCAGCAUUGAGUCCUUUCAUGGGUCCUGGAACGGAGAGAGUGUCCACGGAUCCAGAUCUCGGGUCCCCAGGCGCCUCCCUUGGCCCUGCCUAGUAGGCGUGACAGUUGCUGAAGUCUCAAUGGAGGUUGGAACUUCCAGAUCAAAGCUGGAAUGGCUACCCACUACACGAGAGAACUUGCAAGUGGCCCUGAAGACUGAUGCCUAUCACCCGACACCAAGACUCACUGGCAUUGGUAAACUCAUUCAUUAGUGAAGUGAGGAAAUCAGAAUGCAAUAUUCAUGUCAAUGUUAAUGUAUUUCCACCUCAUUAAAGAAGUCAACACAUGGAAGAAAAAUGCAUUUAGAAGAUUGC